AUUGAACGCUGGCGGCAUGCCUUACACAUGCAAGUCGAACGGCAGCACGGGAGCAAUCCUGGUGGCGAGUGGCGAACGGGUGAGUAAUAUAUCGGAACGUGCCCAGUCGUGGGGAUAACGUAGCGAAAGCUACGCUAAUACCGCAUACGAUCUAUGGAUGAAAGCGGGGGAUCGCAAGACCUCGCGCGAUUGGAGCGGCCGAUAUCAGAUUAGGUAGUUGGUGAGGUAAAGGCUCACUAAGCCGACGAUCUGUAGCUGGUCUGAGAGGACGACCAGCCACACUGGGACUGAGACACGGCCCAGACUCCUACGGGAGGCAGCAGUGGGGGAAUUUUGGACAAUGGGCGCAAGCCUGAUCCAGCAAUGCCGCGUGCAGGAUGAAGGCCUCGGUUGUAACU
rnacentral:rRNA from 1 species